CAAGACGGCUGCUUGCUGAAAUUCGCUGCAGAUUCUACUAACUAGCAUUUGAAACUUCGACGUUUACUUUCCUCUUGCAGUUAUUGUAAGAGUCAACAGAUUAGUAAUUGUUUUGCCGCUGGCUGAACGAGGACUUUGUGUUUUGCGACGGACACUAGAAGAAAUCGGUUGGAAGCUGAACUGGCGUGAGCUGUGAUCGUAGUGCCAGUGUAUGUGUAUACAAGAUUUUGAUCUCUGGCCGGGUCUUUUUCUUUUCUUGUUUUUUUUUUUUUCCUUCUGUGAAACCUGAGAUCUGCACAUGGAUUCUUCUGCUGUGAUCGCUUCUGCAUUGUGGAGGUAGCUUCCAGCAGUUGUGGCGAGCCAACCUAAUUGGAGAUAAGAACUGGGAUUUUGUUAUCCACCCGGUGGAUUUAUGUUUAUUUCUGAAUUUAUAUUGACAUAUCAUGCAUUGAAGGACAAUUCAUUUAAUUUAUAUUUUUGUGUCUAUACAUUAAUACAAUACAUACAACUUACCUGUGGGUUGUGUACGUUUUUCCUCUUCUACUCAAUGCCAAAUAUUGACAUCAUAUAGUGUGUAGGAAUCUGUAAUCUUCAGUGGAUACUUUUAAAUAGUGUGAGCUGAAGUGGGUUACACAAACAUCGUAUUUUAGCUUGAUUUCUUAAACUCGUGGCCAGCUUGCUUUAGAUAUAGACUCAUGCUUUAUCUACGAAG